rnacentral:lncRNA from 1 species
AGGCGCAGCACAGGUACGUGGGCGGGCGGAUCGUGGUGGCUGCGCUUGCGAGGACCCUGAGGUAGAUUGGGUGGUUUCAACAGGAACGCAUCCACUGUCUGAGAGUUUAAACUUGAUUUUGUGAGGGGACGAACAGCGUGACAAUUAAAAGAAGAUCUGGGAAUCAAAAGCUUCCUGAGGCCUUCACCAGAAGCAGAUGCUGGUGCCGUGCUUCUACAGCCUGCAGAACUGAAGGACUUUACAGCUUCUCUUUCGCAUAUCCAAAUUGCCAGCAUCACCGCUCUUGCACUCCAAGCCAUUAUUAAGUAAAGUAAAGAACACAAACACUGUGAUACUGCUACACUUGAUCUGAUAACCAAGAAGUCUACUAAGUGACUAACAGCAGAGCAACUGGGAACCUAAUUCUGACCAAAAAGGAGGAAUUGUUUGGCUAAUUGGAAGUGACAGAAACCUUGGGAGAAAGCAACCGCAUACCAAGGAUAAUUAUAAGAAGAAGAGAAGACAUGGAGAAGAGGAGGGAGUAGUUGUGACCGUGGAGGCAGAGAAUGGAGUAAUGUGAUCAUAAAUCAAGGAAUGCUGACAGCCACUAAAGCUGGAGAAGGCCAAGGACAGAUAUUCAAUCCUCCCGUAGAAGUACAGCCCUGCUAAUGCAUUGAUUUUGGACUUCUGGCCUCAGAACUGUAAGAGAAUAAAUUUCUAUUGUUUUAAGCCUUCA